UAAACAUCUGUGCGCUUCUUGAAUGUAUGUCUGCCGCUCCAGAUCCAGCGGGAUCUCCACUCCGCUCCAGGGUUUCUCGCCGCCUUUCCUUAAAAGCACUCGCUGAGUUUAAAGCGCAGAAAAACACGGCAGCGGCUGCAGAAGCGGCAGCGGCGGAUCUCAUCGCGGACCAGUGUGUGUGAAUGAAAGUGUGCGUGUGUGUGUGCAGGAUGAUGGAGGACGAGCCGCGAGAGACCCUGGACUAACCAUUUUUGUUUUAUUUUGUACAUACAAAUGGAACCUGUUUGCGUUUCCGUCCCAGGCUGGAUGUUAUACUGAAACACUGUAGAUGAGAAAAUGCCGUUCUCCAAGCGCAUCGUGGAGCCCCAGUGGCUGUGCAGGCGCUCGGACACGGAGGACGAGCUGCUUCAGGAUUUGUGCGCCUUCAGUAACGUGGCUCUGUCCCGGACCCUGCGCCAGCUGUCGGACCUGGCCAAACACGCCUGCUCGCUUUUCCAGGAGCUCGAGAAUGAGCUGCUUUUCACGAACCGGCGGGUGUGCGCGCUCCGGGACACCGUCAACCGUAUCCAGGAGAACACCGAGGCGCUCGACCCCAAGCAGGAGGCAGUGCGAAUAGCUUUUGCAGGAAAACACACAUGAUUGUGAGCAGUGAAGUGAAUCUGCUCUUUCAGCUCUGAAUGUGGAGGAUCAUCCAUGACUGUCCCCGUCUCACUUCACUAAAGCUCCUCUGCAUUGGAGCCUCUUAAUGUCCUGCAGUUCUUUAACCUUCCUGUUCUCCCAAAAAGUCUACCUGCAGACAGUAUUACUGUUAGUUUAUUAAUAUCAAUUUAAAUAAAUGCAUUAUUUUUGAAUAUUAUGAUGUUUGUAGUGGUAUUAGUAGUAGCAGUAGUAGUAGUAGUAAUAAUAAUAAUAAUAAUAAUAAUAAUAAUAAUAAUAAUAAUAAUAAUAAUAAUAAUAAUAAUGGUGGUGAUAAUAAUAAUAAUAAUAAUAGUAAUAAUAAUAAUAAUGAUGAUAAUAAUAAUAAUAGUAAUAAUA
rnacentral:lncRNA from 1 species